rnacentral:rRNA from 1 species
ACCUACGGCUAUACCACCCUGAGCAUGCCUGCUCUUGUCUCAUCUCAGAAGCUAAGCGGGGCUGGGCCUGGUUAGUAUUUGGAUGGAAGCUCACCUGGGAACACCAGGUGCUGUAGCUU